UACGGGGGGGGCAAGCGUUGUUCGGAAUUACUGGGCGUAAAGGGCUUGUAGGUGGCCAACUAAGUCAGACGUGAAAUCCCUCAGCUUAACUGGGGAACUGCGUCUGAUACUGGAUGGCUUGAGUUUGGGAGAGGGAUGCGGAAUUCCAGGUGUAGCGGUGAAAUGCGUAGAUAUUGGGAGGAACACCGGUGGCGAAGGCGGCCCCCUGGACCGGAACUGACGCUGAGGCGCGAAAGCGUGGGUAGCAAACGGG
rnacentral:rRNA from 1 species